AAGGCCUACAGUUUGCAGUUUGCUGAAGCUCUUGGUUUCAAGCAGGAGACUAAAGAAAUGUCUUUCUAUGGUCUGUUGACCAUUUCAGGACUUCAGAAAUUAUAGUGGUUGAUUCUUUAGAAAGAAACAUCU